GACGAACGCUGACGGCGUGCUUAACACAUGCAAGUCGAACGGAAAGGCCCUGCUUUUGUGGGGUGCUCGAGUGGCGAACGGGUGAGUAACACGUGAGUAACCUGCCCUUGACUUUGGGAUAACUUCAGGAAACUGGGGCUAAUACCGGAUAGGAGCUCCUGCUGCAUGGUGGGGGUUGGAAAGUUUCGGCGGUUGGGGAUGGAUUCGCGGCUUAUCAGCUUGUUGGUGGGGUAGUGGCUUACCAAGGCUUUGACGGGUAGCCGGCCUGAGAGGGUGACCGGCCACAUUGGGACUGAGAUACGGCCCAGACUCCUACGGGAGGCAGCAGUGGGGAAUAUUGCACAAUGGGCGGAAGCCUGAUGCAGCAACGCCGCGUGCGGGAUGACGGCCUUCGGGUUGUAAACCGCUUUCGCCUGUGACGAAGCGUGAGUGACGGUAAUGGGUAAAGAAGCACCGGCUAACUACGUG
rnacentral:rRNA from 1 species